GGGAGGUGGUUCUCAUCUAAUGACUGUUUACAAACCAGCUGAGGCUUUUGUCCAGAGGCGGAGCCUGCACCUAUAGGCUCCACCCCUAAGGCCUUCAAGUUGGGAGACUAGUUGAGCUCCCAAUUCAGAGGCCCCUGGGGGCUAAAGGUUGGGGAGGGGCCCUGGGAGAGGCGCCUGGGGUGGAGUAGGGGCCUCUAAACUUCCUCCCAUCUGCCUAUGACGUCCUCCGCACCAGUCUCUCCGGUGUCAUGAUCUGGACGGAAGGUGGAGCCCCUGAGCUGCCUGUAACUGGCAGUCGGCUCCCAGAAAAGCUUGAAUGUGGGGAAAUGCUGAGUUAUGGGGGUGGGGACACUUCCUCCAGGUCCAGACUCUGGAGUUGUGGAGAAGGUGGUGAAGGCCCCAGGGUAUGGGUCACCGGUUCCUGCUUUGUUUUCUCAGCCACCCAGAUGCAGACCUAGGAAAUAAAAUCCUAAAGGUCAUUUGCAUCCCUCUAGCCCUUCCCUGGACCCUUUGGGACGUCCUCCAGCAUUUACCGAGGACCUUCUCCCUCUCAUUAGCUGCAAUUAUUUAUUUCCUUCCCCCUUCACCACCCUCUUCUACCACGCCACUGAAGUGUCAACACACUUCUAACCUUCCUCCAUAUUUCGCCUGGUCUGCCCUGUCCUUGCCUCCUCCCUCUCUCCACCCAGAGAAAGCCCCGCCCUUCCCUCCUCCCUCCCACCCCAGCCUGUCACACAGGGACAUCACCCUACAGCAGUUCAGGCUGUGUGGUUCGCAGGAAGCAUACUCUGGCUUUUCGAUUCUUGCUAGUUUUCAGUUAACAUUUUGAGAAGAUCUAACACCAGCCUUCACGUCAAGGGGGGCCAAGGACAGUGAGGAGCCGGUGGUCCCAGCCGGGAGUCCUGCCAGACUGACAUGGAAAUGGAGGCAAACGACCAUUUUAACUUUACUGGCCUUCCCCCUGCACCUGCUGCCUCAGGACUGAAACCCUCUCCUUCCUCAGGGGAGGGCCUCUACACUAACGGGUCUCCCAUGAACUUCCCCCAGCAAGGGAAAAGUUUGAAUGGGGAUGUGAAUGUUAAUGGCUUAUCUACUGUAUCUCACACUACUACUUCAGGGAUUUUGAACUCUGCUCCCCACUCCUCCAGCACCUCACACCUCCAUCACCCCAACGUGGCCUAUGACUGUCUCUGGAACUACUCACAGUACCCAUCUGCCAAUCCUGGCAGCAACCUCAAGGACCCACCCCUUCUCUCUCAGUUUUCAGGGGGACAGUACCCACUCAACGGCAUUCUUGGGGGCAGCCGGCAACCAUCCCCGAGUCACAACACUAACCUUCGGGCUGGGAGCCAAGAGUUCUGGGGCAAUGGUACCCAGAGUCCCAUGGGGCUUAACUUCGACUCACAGGAACUGUAUGAUUCCUUUCCUGACCAGAAUUUUGAGGAGGUAGGCAGUGUGAUCCAUCCUGAUGAGGCAGCAGAAAAGGAGCUGACUUCAGUCGUGGCAGAGAAUGGCACCGGCUUGGUAGGCAGCCUGGAGCUGGAAGAAGAGCAGCCAGAACUAAAAAUGUGUGGCUACAAUGGCUCUGUCCCCUCUGUGGAGUCAUUACACCAAGAGGUCUCAGUCCUGGUCCCUGACCCCACAGUAAGCUGUUUAGAUGACCCUUCACAUCUUCCUGAUCAACUAGAAGACACUCCAAUCCUCAAUGAAGACUCUCUUGAGCCCUUCGACUCUCUGGCACCAGGUGGGCUAGAAGGCUGGAUCUUUUACUUAGCAAGCAGAGGGUAG
rnacentral:lncRNA from 1 species